rnacentral:rRNA from 1 species
AGCUCGGCCAUCACUGGCUGAAUACAUUAUGGGUUGAAUAUAGACCAUUCUUCGAAAUCAAUUGGAGGGCAAGUCUGGUGCCAGCAGCCGCGGUAACUCCAGCUCCAAUAGUGUAUCUUAACGUUGUUGCAGUUAAAAAGCUCGUAGUUGAAUUUCUGGGGGGGCUGCUUCGGUUAACGCCUGGUGGCCCCCUCAUCCGCCUUGGAGCCAGGAAGGGUAUUUAUUUACUGGCCUGGGGAAGUGGCAUUUUACUUUGAAGAAAUUAGAGUGUUCAUAGCAGGCUAUUGCUUGAAUAUAUCAGCAUGGAAUAAUGGAAUAGGACAUCGUCCGUCUUUUGGUGAUUGGACAUGUAAUGAUUAACAGGGACAGUUGGGGGCAUUCGUAUUCGCUAGUCAGAGGUGAAAUUCUUGGAUUUGGCGAAGACGAACUAAUGCGA